UUGCAACGUUUCGUUCGCUCAGAGAUUUCCAGUCCAUUUCGAACCAGCUGGUCGGGCUGGUUGGGGGGCAGCCAUCAGCGUUCACUGUUCUACAUGCGUGGGGAGCCGUCGAUUUUCGUGUAGGGAGGCGCCCUGCGAAUCCAGCUGCCCUUUUGGUCUUCAUCUCAUUGGUUUUCCUCUCAGAUGUUGCGUUCGAGUGUUGCCGUUCCAGCUGCGCUUCAUCCUUCUUCUCAUCGCACGGGUUUAGCUCAAAGGGAUUUCUAGGUUUCGUAAAAAAAGGGACGAAGAUCUAAGGAAAAAGAACUGGAGUAAUCCAUAUGAGAACCCCCAGUCUGCUCAUCAAUCUGGUCAGGAGCCAAUCAAAUACAAGGCGAUUGUAGAUCUGCAUUCAACUUCAUGGAGAAGGCUCUUGGAGAUCUUUACCCAAGAAUGCAGCAUCAUGCGGGCACCUUUGCUAGGUCUAUACAAAAUAUUCAAGACGGAUCUCUAUAGCCCCUUGCUCAUGGAAGAUCUCCCCAAGAAUUCCUCAACCAAUUUGGAGAAUGCAGAUGAACUAUCCUCAAGUAACCGAGCAGGAGAAUCAUACUCUGAAACCCUGCCUGUUUCUAUACAUUUUGGAACAUAUCUACAGAGCAGGUUAUACUAACAGUACCUUCAUCAAGAACUAAAACCAGGUCAUUUUCGAUAACCGUAGGAAUCCGGUGAGCCACAGUGAUCACAGUGCAUCCACUCGUUUCUUUUCUUAUUGUCUGCUGAAUUAGAAUAUCUGUUGCUGUAUCAAUAGAAGCUGUAGCCUCAUCCAAGACAAGAAUUUUCCUUUUCUUUAAAAGCACUCGGCCCAGGCAAAUAAGCUGCCUCUGUCCAACACUCCAGUUUUCUCCAUCUUCAGCAACUGUUCAGUGUUUGAACGAAUUAAAAUAUAAAAACUGAACUGCUUUGGUUGUUCAUAUGAUUUAGUAGAUUAUUAGAUCUCCAUACCAGGUGUAUCAAGAAGCCUUUGGUCCUGCCUAAUGAUCUCCGCCAGUCGACAUUGAUUCAGAACCUGUCUUAUUGAAUUAUAUAAGUAACAAUACCACAAUAUAUAUCAUUCUUGUAAAUAAAGACUUUGACCCUAACC